rnacentral:lncRNA from 1 species
GAUAAUUUUGCCAAAUUUUAAAACAAAACAUUAAAUUUAAAUAAUGAACUAAAUUAUAAUGUUAAAUUCAAAAAGUUAAGUAAAAUAUUGCAUUUAUAUAAUCUGUAAAAUGAUAAAAUGCACAGAACCACAAAGUACUGAAGUACAACUUGGAAAACAGCUAGAUACAUAAAUAUAGAUUGAUGACAAUCAUAAUUGAUCUACCUCAAGAUUACAAUUAUAGGUUUAUAUAGAUAACUCUGUAGAGAAUGGAGGUUCAUCCCCAUCUCUAUACUGAUAUCGUCCCCGUGCCCCCUCUUUAGCCGCCUUCCUCGUAGUAGAUAUCUUCACUUGAACUGAAAACUCCCUCGCAUCAAUCCAUCUCAAUGUAGUGUUUACUAAGUCAGUCAAGAACUCCAUAAUCUCCAACAGCACUUUAUUAUUACCAAAACUAAUUUCAAACUGAUUAAUACAAAAAACAGCAAUUAUUCCUUCCUCUGAACAAAUGGCAAAUCUGCUGCGCCAUAAACUGAACAAUAACCAAUACACAUACCAAAAGUACUUUCCAAUUAAAACAAACCACACCAGUUGGUUUGAACAAACACACAUCAAAACAACUAAACGUACUAAAAUCCAGGAUGUCAAAGUCCACCUCAACAGUCAGCAGCACAAGAAAAAGGGAAGGAACAACACGUCACACCGUGGUGGUUCGUUUAUUUCUAUAGUGAUUUGCAUAUCAUAACAAAUAAUUUUUUUUCUUCUUUCAUAUUUAACAUAAUAUAAUCACACCGUG